GAUGAAGAACGUAGCGAAAUGCGAUAAGUAAUGUGAAUUGGAGAAUUCAGUGAAUCAUCGAAUCUUUGAACGCACAUUGCGCCCCUUGGUAUUCCGAGGGGCAUGCCUGUUCGAGCGUCAUUAUAACCCCUCAAGCUCAGCUUGGUGUUGGGGCCUGCUGCACUGGCAGCCCUUAAAAUCAGUGGCGGCGCCAUCUGGCUCUAAGCGUAGUAAUUCUUCUCGCUAUGGAGUCCUGGUGGAUGCUUGCCAUCAACCCCCAAUUUUUCUAUGGUUGACCUCGGAUCAGGUAGGGAUACCCGCUGAACUUAAGCAUAUCAAUAAGCGGAGGA
rnacentral:misc_RNA from 1 species